UGCCUUGUCGCUCCAGUGUAUCAAGACAGAUCCGAAUCUUGUCCCACAGUGACCUAAUGUGACGACAUCUCCCCAGAAGCCACCACCUCAGGUUGUGAUAUAAUGUCUUCUGCUUGUCAUCAGCAUCUCAGACCACACGGCUGCCACAUGCUGAUGUCCUGUGAGCUCUGAAAGACUUUUCAGGAUCCAUUACUGGACAUGGGGUCACCCGUUAAAACCAGGGCAAAUCUAGAAAAUGCAGGCCACUGGCCAGAUGAGGAUAACUCUGCCCUUUGUAAUGCUUUUCUCCCCUGGGUCAGUUCCUCUGAACACUAAAUGCAGAAUAACUUUCCGGGUUCACCAGUACACAGAAUGAUUGCGGCAUGGGAUAGGAUGUGUUCUCCAGGACAUGAUGGUAUCCCAAGGCAAUACUGAUGCAGAUUAACUGACCCUGCUGCUAAGAGGGCUAAAGAAUGCAGGAACAGUCCAUGUGCUCAGUUUCCAUUAUAAAAUUAUCGUGGCUUCACACCUCAGUGGGUAGUGAUACCACAUGCAUGUGUCCAAGCCCCCACUUCUUGCUGUCUCCUUCGUUUCUUUCACAUGGUUGGGCUGUCAUAACUGCAGUGCUUAUGUGUGUGCCUGCCCUCUACUAGAUGUAAUGAGAACUGCUCAGCUGUGUUUCACAGGCCUUGUACUGCCACACAAAUUCUCCUUUAGCGUCAGUGCUAGGAGCAGCAGGGCCUGAGUUUUGCCCCCACUGCCUCUGCAAAGUUUGACUGGACAUGGAAUGCAGCAUAGUGGCAACCAGGAUCUCCUAGGUGGCCAUGGAUGGUAUAUGCCUGAAGCAGCCUCCUAGCUGAUAUCUGCCACCAGCCACACUCCUUCCUGCUCCUCCUUCAACAAACUCCUGCAAACUCUCCUGUUGCACGCAGCAUUCCAGCUACAAUGACCACAGAAUCCCUGUCAGAUCCUCCACCCCAGAGGUCACGGCAGAGUCCUGGGAGAAGCACUGUGAGUCCCACCCAGCCAGGCCAGGGAGUCGGAGUGGGGUUAACGGGAAGGCAGCCAAGUGGGCGCGGCCCCUUGCAAAACACCUGCCAGAAACUGACUGGCUGCCAAAGUCUGCAAGCCCAGCCUGGCAGCCCCACCUGUGUGAUCCUGUGGGGCACCUCCCACUCCCUCCGGAUCCUGCACUGCCCCCCACACUGGGAAACGCUGAGCUAAGAAGCUGAACGACCUGCGGGACCAGAGGAACUGAACCUGGCACGGCACCCUGGCCCCUGGGUGAGCAGUGGAAGAGCUCUCCCAAAUCCUCACCCUGCUGGGAAUUAGAGGGGUCGACUGAGAAACAGAGUCAUCAUCUUCUGGGUGACAUCCUCAUGGGACUUUGCCUGAUUUUCGCCCACCCAGAGGAUCCUGACACCCGGUCGGGAACAGGUGAAACUCCCAGGAACAAAGAUCUGCUUUCCAUGCAGAUGCCCUUAGCUGGCUAACACAGGGAGAGGAGACGAUGGAGUCGCUCCCACGGCGAGUCUAUUUCCGGAGCCUUGCUUGAGGCCACUGGGGCUCUUGGGAGAUGUCCCAGUUGGAAGUGGGAGAGUGGGACGUGUUCCCUACGUCACACCAGCCCAGAGCUCGGCACACAACAAAGCUGUUAAACAAAGACCAGACAAAGUCUACUGAGGAAUCCAGCGUGGGAGCUGCUGAGGGGUUGGCUGCAAAGACCCUGUAUCUAAUCAGUAACUGCAGGAUUCCAGAGAGUCUGCUUGGGAGGGGGGGUGGAUAGGACAGCAGAACCCACUCAAACCUUCUUCCCCCAAAAUCCCACCCAAUCUUUCUGCCAAGCCUCAAACUCGGUGAUGCAUGAUGAACUCUCCGUGUCACCUGCCUUCCCCUCGCCAGGUGAGUGGGCCCCUCUGGGUUUCCUCUGGACCGGGAGUGCCAGCAGGACCCCAGGAUGGGCUGUUCUUGUGAGAUUUCCAGCCCAGUCUCCAGACCAAAGGCAUUCGGAGACAUCUGGAAGCGGCUCCAAACCAAGACUCUGACCCCUUGACAGGUCACCGUGCACACACCAGGAAAUGGUGCUGGAAGGAACUGCCACGGAAGGAGUCCCAGGGGUCAGAGCGGAAGGCACUAACCAUGUGUUUGCUCUAGUUACGCGGCUCUCCCCCCGGUUAUCCCCAGCCAUGCGCUGGCCCUUCCCCUGGAAAUGAAAGGUCCAACUGUGACCAGGAGCCAUAGUCCCUGUCUCGUGGAGUUCCACAGAUGUGGUGGGGAAGGAAGCUCUGUUCUGAAGCAUUAGCAUGUAGGAGGAGGUUUGUUGUUCUGUGAUCGGGCGCACUGACUCCUCCCGCCCCCCCUGCAUGGCCAGUCCCUGCAGCUGGGCCCACACUGAAUCGAGGAGCUGCUGCUGCCCUGGCCAAGAGCACCAGGCAGGAAAUGGAGUAGAGUUUCCAAACCUGCAGAGUGGAGAAGGGCUGGGGAAGCAGCAAAGUGCCCUUGUCCCAUUGCUGGGAGGAGGGGCCUUGGGAGGGAUCUUUGACUGCCCAGCUGAAGGCUCCUUGGGAUGCUGCCUUCUCACCAAAUGCCCACAAUUUACCGCAAACUGCCUAGCGCGUUGAGCGCGGAUCCUGAGCCCCCCUGCUCAGAACGCGACACCCGCCCUCCGCCCCUCUUACGCACACCGGGACCAGACGUGAC